GACGUAGGGCGCGAGCGUUGUCCGGAUUUAUUGGGCGUAAAGAGCUCGUAGGCGGCUUGUCGCGUCGAAUGUGAAAACCUGCAGCUCAACUGCAGGCUUGCAUUCGAUACGGGCGGGCUCGAGUUCGGUAGGGGAGACUGGAAUUCCUGGUGUAGCGGUGAAAUGCGCAGAUAUCAGGAGGAACACCGGUGGCGAAGGCGGGUCUCUGGGCCGAUAUUGACGCUGAGGAGCGAAAGCGUGGGGAGCGAACAGG
rnacentral:rRNA from 1 species